rnacentral:rRNA from 1 species
AUUCCAGCUCUAAUAGCGUAUAUUAAUGUUGUUGCAGUUAAAAGCUCGUAGUUGGAUUUUGGUGUUUGACAAAUGGUCUGCCUUCGGGUUUGCACUGUUUGUUGGCACUUCUUUUCUGGGGAACUCACUGCUCUUAAUUGAGGGGUGCUGUAACGCAGAUCGUUUACUUUGAAAAAAAUAGAGUGUUCAAAGCAGGCUUACGCCGUUGAAUCUUUUAGCAUGGAAUAAUAAGAUAGGAUCUUGAUACUAUUUUGUUGGUUUGCGUGUCGAGAUAAUGAUGAAUAGGGACAGUUGGGGGUAUUUGUAUUCCAUAGUCAGAGGUGAAAUUCUUGGAUUUAUGGAAGACAAACUAAUGCGAAAGCAUCUACCAAGGAUGUUUUCAUUG